GGUAUUCCGGUUGCCGGGGUGCUUGGCACGGGCAAGGCGGCCACGAGAUGGUCCAGGAAGGCAAAAAGACGGGCAAACUGGUUAUCCCCACUAGUCAAAGGAAGAAGACUCUCCGAGCUGGAGAUCUCCUCUGUUGUCGGGAAAAGUGAUGAGACGGUUCAGCAGGGCUCCACCGGUGGUGUCGUCGUUGCAGGUCGGCUCGGCUUCUCCCUCCUCGGAUUCUUUAGGUCCUGUGGCGACCUCUGAAGUUCCAGUCCCCAAAGCCCUGCUUUUAUGCAGAAAACCCCCAUUCAUUCAGCCUAGCUGUCACUCAAACAUGCUAAGUGGUGAGAGUGUGACUUGAGUUGCCGAGGCAACGCAGUCCAGGGUGCCUAAACCCCCUUCCACGGCCCCUGUGGAGAAGCCCGCCAAAAGUGGAACAAAGGGCUCGACUUGGGUUGGAGUCACAGAAGCGAACAACAAACGCCAUUUUGUAACCAAGUUUCGGCAAAAAAUACCAACCGGUGAAUUUAUAUUAAUUUAAUAAACCGGCGGUAUGUUCCAGGCUAUUUUAAAAAGUGGUAGCCUCGAACAAUGGGAAAAUCCCAUAGGAAUAUAUUCGCGGUCGAAUAUAAAAAGUAGUAUCCACUGCCACCAGCCAAAACUCGGUCAGGGGGAACUGGACGGUGCCCCCUCGAACAACAGACCCCGGGGCAAUCUAAUUUCCCCGACCAGCACGUCCACAAUAUGAUGGUUUGUACUGGUUCUGUUCACAAUUUAAGACUAGUAAAGCCAAUGGUGACUUUACAUGCCCUGGGAGACAGUAGUCAGUCCCAGGGUAUGGAGUCUAUGUUUGGGGGUCGCUACGACAUCCCUGGGUUACGGCACGGAGGGUGCUGUGUAACCCACAUACCAAAAACACAUGAAGCCCUAUGGGGUAAAGGACCCCAUAGCCCAUAAAACACAUACUAAGUCAAAGUAACACCUCAAAUCAUGUCUAAGAGUGGGAGAAGAGAGUCUCACUCUUAGCAGGAGAAAAACAAACCUCACAAAUCCAGCAAAGCUGCUGGGGGACUCACUAGGUUUGGGAAAUUAGCCUUUACAGAGAAUUCUCCCUAACAGGCGUCUAAGCGAUAGUGCUUGCAGAGGCCCGAGCCUUGGAAAGCGUCGCGGUUCCAGCAGCGUCCGGUGAGCUCUCGCUGGUCCUUGAAAAUCCAGGGGAGAUGGUGUAAAUCUCGCGCCGGGCCGUAUCCAUAUCCGCAGCAGGUCUCCAAGGGGAACAGCCUCUGGCAUGUUGGAACAAUGUAGGUAAGGGAAGUCGGCAAGUCAGAUCCGUAACUUUGGGAUAAGGAUUGGCUCUAAGGGCUGAGUCGGUCGGGCUGGGGCGCGAAGUGGGGCUGGGCACGUGCCGCGGCUGGACGAGGCGUCACCCUCUGGGGGCGGCGCUGACUCUGGACGCGAGCCGGGCCCUUCUUGUGGAUCGCCCCAGAUGCGGUGGUCGCCUCUCUCCGUUCCCCUCCUGGGGUGGGGUUCGAGGCCUGCGUUCUGCCUCGGCCGAUGCCUAGCAGCUGACUUAGAACUGGCGCGGACCAGGGGAAUACGACUGUUUAAUUAAAACAAAGCAUCGCGAAGGCCCACGGUGGGUGUUGACGCGAUGUGAUUUCUGCCCAGUGCUCUGAAUGUCAAAGUGAAGAAAUUCAAUGAAGCGCGGGUAAACGGCGGGAGUAACUAUGACUCUCUUAAGGUAGCCAAAUGCCUCGUCAUCUAAUUAGUGACGCGCAUGAAUGGAUGAACGAGAUUCCCACUGUUCCUAACUACUAUCUAGCGAAGUCACAGCCAGGGAACGGGCUUGGCAGAAUCAGCGGGGAAAGUUGAGCUUGACUCUAGUCUGGCACUGUGAAGAGACAUGAGAGGUGUAGGAUACUCAUAUUGUUUUUUCACUUACCCAGGUGAGGCGGGGGGGGGCGAGCCCCGUGCGGCUCUCGCUUCUGGCUCCCGCUCCGGGAACAGUGGCAGGUGGGGAGUUUGACUGGGGUGGUACACCUGUCAAACGAUAACGCAGGUGUCCUAAGGCGAGCUCAGGGAGGACAGAAACCUCCCGCGGAGCAGAAGGGCAAAAGCUCGCUUGAUAUCGAUUUUUAGUAUGAAUACAGACCGUGAAAGCGGGGCCUCACGAUCCUUCUGACUUUUUGGGUUUCAAGCAGGAGGUGUCAAAAGUUACCAUAGGGAUAUCUGGCUUGUGGCGGCCAAACGUUCAUAGCGACGUCACUUUUUGAUCCUUCCAUGUCGGCUCUUCCCAUCAUUGUGAAGCAGAAUUCACCAAGCGUUGGAUUGUUCACCCACUAAUAGGGAACUUGAGCUGGGAUUAGACCGUUGUGAGACAGGUUAGUUUUACCCUACUGAUAAUGUGUGGUUGCAAUAGUAAUCCUGCUCAGUAUGAGAGGAACGUAGGUUCAGACAUUUGGUGUAUGUGCUUGGCUGAGGAGUCAAUGGGGCAAAGCUACCUUCUGUGGGAUUAUGUCUGAACGCUUCCAAGAAUCUCCCCUAAACCGUAACGAUACUGCAGCGCUGUGGAGCCUCGGUUGGCCUAGGAUAGCCAGCCACUGGGCCGGUGCAUAGAGCCGCUCGCCUCGGGACUAGAGUGUGGACAGAAGGGGGCCACCUCUCUCGCCCAGACUACACACC
rnacentral:rRNA from 1 species